rnacentral:rRNA from 1 species
CCCUUAGAUGUCCUGGGCCGCACGCGCGCUACACUGACAUGUUCAACAAGCCUCCUAGUUCGACAGGAUUUGGGAAAUCUUUGAACGCAUGUCGUGAUAGGGAUAGAUCAUUGCAAUUAUUGAUCUUGAACGAGGAACUCCUAGUAAACGCGAGUCAUCAGCUCGCAUUGAUUACGUCCCUGCCCUUUGUACACACCACCCGUCGCACCUACCGAUUGAAUGUUUCGGUGAAGAUUCCGGAUAGGACUUUUUUGAUUUAUUUCAAUUUUGUCUUAAAAGCUAUCUAAACCUCAACAUUUAGAGGAAGGUGAAGUCGUAACA